rnacentral:rRNA from 1 species
UACGUAGGGUGCAAGCGUUGUCCGGAAUUAUUGGGCGUAAAGAGCUCGUAGGCGGUUUGUCGCGUCUGCUGUGAAAACCCGAGGCUCAACCUCGGGCCUGCAGUGGGUACGGGCAGACUAGAGUGCGGUAGGGGAGAUUGGAAUUCCUGGUGUAGCGGUGGAAUGCGCAGAUAUCAGGAGGAACACCGAUGGCGAAGGCAGAUCCCUGGACCGGUACUGACGCUGAGGCGCGAAAGCGUGGGUAGCAAACGGG